rnacentral:rRNA from 1 species
CGUAGGAGGCAAGCGUUAUCCGGAUUCACUGGGCGUAAAGCGCGUGCAGGUGGCGCGGUAAGUUAGGCGUGAAAUCUCCCGGCUCAACUGGGAGAGGUCGUCUAAUACUACCGUGCUUGAGAGCAGAAGAGGAAGAUGGAAUUCCCGGUGUAGUGGUGAAAUGCGUAGAUAUCGGGAGGAACACCAGUGGCGAAGGCGAUCUUCUGGUCUGUUUCUGACACUCAGACGCGACAGCUAGGGUAGUAAACGGGAUUAGAGACCCCGGUAAUCCUAGCCGUAAACGAUGUGAACUUGGCGUUGGUGGGUUAAACUCCAUCAGUGCCGUAGCAAACGCGAUAAGUUCACCGCCUGGGGACUACGGCCGCAAGGUUA